ACGCCAGUAGAUAUUAUAGGGACUUAGAAGAGGGAGAAGAGAUUCCUCAACUUGAGCGUCCUUAGGUAAGGUGUCUAUUUCGACAAGGUUAUCAAUGUGAGAAGAAAGAGUUCUUCUAAGAGGAGAAGAGAAAGAAAGAGAAGGGGUAAGGUUUAUAAUUUCAAAAGGAGUUGGGUGUUGUAGGACUGUUUGGGUAGAAGGAGUAGGUGUUUGAAAAGACAUUUUUGAGAGAAAAUCUCCUUACUCACCUUUGAAGUAUGUACCAUACAAGUAUAAUUAGGCUCUGAUAACAAGAUAGGCCGGGAG
rnacentral:misc_RNA from 1 species